ensembl:ncRNA Y26D4A.23 ncRNA
UUGAACAAUUGAAUUUUCUAUUAAUCUAACUUUAAUAGCUGUUAAAUUCAAUUGUUUUUGAAUAUAUCUUCUAGGGUUUUCUCUGAUAAGAGUUUCAAGAACCUCAUUUUGCUCAUUGAAGAUAUCACACAUAACUUCUGUUGUAUGUCUUAAUAAAUUAUUUGAUUGAUUUUCUAGAUAUUGAAAUUCUCCUGCUGCUUGAAAGUCU